GAAGAAGAACGUAGCGAAAUGCGAUAAGUAAUGUGAAUUGCAGAAUUCAGUGAAUCAUCGAAUCUUUGAACGCACAUUGCGCCCCUUGGUAUUCCGAGGGGCAUGCCUGUUCGAGCGUCAUAUUAACCACUCCCGCUUGCGGGGUCUUGGGCUUCGCCUCCGGGCGGGCCUUAAAAUCAGUGGCGGUGCCGUCGGGCUCUACGCGUAGUAAAUUUUCUCGCGAUAGGGUCCCGGUGGAUGCUUGCCAACAACCCCCAACUUCUUAAGGUUGACCUCGGAUCAGGUAGGGAUACCCGCUGAACUUAAGCAUAUCAAUAAGCGGAGGA
rnacentral:misc_RNA from 1 species